GAUGAACGCUAGCGGCAGGCCUAACACAUGCAAGUCGAGGGGUAACAUAGAAAAGCUUGCUUUUCUGAUGACGACCGGCGCACGGGUGCGUAACGCGUAUACAACCUACCUUUUAGCGGGGAAUAGCCCAGGGAAACUUGGAUUAAUGCCCCAUAGUAUAUAGGAAUCUCCUGAUUUUUAUAUUAAACAUUUAUGGCCAUUAGAUGGGUAUGCGUCCUAUUAGCUAGUUGGUAAGGUAACGGCUUACCAAGGCAGCGAUAGGUAGGGGUCCUGAGAGGGAGAUCCCCACACUGGUACUGAGACACGGACCAGACUCCUACGGGAGGCAGCAGUGAGGAAUAUUGGACAAUGGGCGAGAGCCUGAUCCAGCCAUGCCGCGUGCAGGAAGACUGCCCUAUGGGUUGUAAACUGCUUUUACAGAGGAAGAACCACCCCCACGUGUGGGGGUUUGACGGUACUCUGCGAAUAAGGAUCGGCUAACUCCGUG
rnacentral:rRNA from 1 species